rnacentral:rRNA from 1 species
AUUGAACGCUGGCGGCAGGCCUAACACAUGCAAGUCGAGCGGAUGAAGGGAGCUUUCUCCUGGAUUCAGCGGCCGACGGGUGAGUAAUUACUAGGAAGCUGCCUGGUAGUGGGGGAUAACGUCCGGAAACGGGCCCUAAUACAGUAUACGAUCACAUGUAGAAACGGGGGGUUCUUCGGACCAAGCUCCAUUAGCUGAACCUAGGUAGGAUUAGCUAGUUGAUUGGGUAAAGGCCUACCAAGACGACGAUCCGUAACUGGACUCAGAGGGUGACCGGUCACACUGGAAUUGAGACACGGUCCAGACUCCUACGGGAGGCAGAAGUGGGGAAUAUUGGCCAAUGGGGGAAAGCCUGAUGCAGCCAUGCCGCGUGUGUGAAGAAGGUCUUCGGAUUGUAAAGCACGUUAAGUUGGGAGGAAGGGCAGUAAGUUAAUACCUUGCUGUUUUGACGUUACCAACAGAAUAAGCAACGGCUAACUUCGUG